AACGUAAACAUGGCCGGCGCUGAUCAAAGGGUAGUAUCUGUGCUUGUCGGCUUAAUAUCUGAUAUGGAUUAUUUUUGCACCCAAGGGAGUUAACUAAUUUUUGCAAUUUCGCGGAGUGUUUGAAACCUGCUUCACCUUUGCCGCGGUCCAGCCUGGUAUUGCGCUGUCUUCGGCAUUGGCCACGGUUU